rnacentral:sRNA from 1 species
GCCGACGUCAAACUCAGGGAGCUCCAAGAAU